rnacentral:rRNA from 1 species
CGUGCCAGCAGCCGCGGUAAUACAUAGGUCACAAGCGUUAUCCGGAAUUAUUGGGCGUAAAGCGUUCGUAGGCGGUUUGUUAAGUCUGGAGUUAAAGACUGGGGCUCAACCCCAGCCCGCUCUGGAUACUGGCUGACUAGAGUUACAUAGAGGUAAGUGGAAUUCUUAGUGGAGCGGUGGAAUGCGUAGAUAUUAGGAAGAACACCAAUGGCGAAGGCAGCUUACUGGAUGUACACUGACGCUCAGGGACGAAAGCGUGGGGAGCAAACAGGAUUAGAUACCCUGGUAGUCCACGCCGUAAACGAUGAUCAUUAGCCGCUAGAAUAUUUAGUGGUGCAGCUAACGCAUUAAAUGAUCCGCCUGAGUAGUAUGCUCGCAAGAGUGAAACUUAAAGGAAUUGACGGGGACCCGCACAAGCGGUGGAGCAUGUGGUCUAAUUUGAAGAUACGCGUAGAACCUUACCCACUCUUGACAUCUUCCGCAAUACUAUGGAGACAUAGUGGAGGUUAACGGAAUGACAGAUGGUGCAUGGUUGUCGUCAGCUCGUGCCGUGAGGUGUUAGGUUAAGUCCUGCAACGAGCGCAACCCCUGUCUUUAGUUACUAACGGAUAAUGCCGAGGACUCUAGAGAGACUGACUGGGUAACCAGUAGGAAGGUGGGGACGACGUCAAAUCAUCAUGCCUCUUACGAGUGGGGCAACACACGUGCUACAAUGGACGGUACAAAGAGAAGCAAUAUGGUGACAUGGAGCAAACCUCAAAAAACCGUUCUCAGUUCGGAUUGAAGUCUGAAACUCGACUUCAUGAAGUUGGAAUCGCUAGUAAUCGUAGAUCAGCUACGCUACGGUGAAUACGUUCUCGGGUCUUGUACACACCGCCCGUC